rnacentral:rRNA from 1 species
UGCCAGCAGCCGCGGUAAUACGUAUGGGGCAAGCGUUGUUCGGAAUUAUUGGGCAUAAAGGGCGUCUAGGCGGGGAAUUAAGUUAGGUGUGAAAGCCAUGGGCUCAACCCAUGAACUGCAUCUAAGACUGGUUCUCUUGAGUUCGGGAGAGGUAAGCGGAAUUCCAGGUGUAGCGGUGAAAUGCGUAGAUAUCUGGAAGAACACCAGUGGCGAAGGCGGCUUACUGGCCUAGAACUGACGCUGAAGCGCGAAAGCGUGGGGAGCGAACGGGAUUAGAUACCCCGGUAGUCCACGCCGUAAACGUUGUAUACUAGGUGUUAGUGAUCCAAUCACUAGUGCCGAAGCAAACGUAUUAAGUAUACCGCCUGGGGAGUACGCCCGCAAGGGUGAAACUCAAAGGAAUUGACGGGGGCCCGCACA